GCUCCAAGGAGGCAGGGGAGAGACGGAGAGACCAGACCAGGAUCUGAAUGCCAAUAAGCCAGGGACCCCCCCCCCCCAGCUUCCAACCCCCACCCCAGCAUCUUGUCACUGCAUCUGUGACCUCUGACCCACACAGCUGGGAGCUGAUGGGAGGUGGGGGUGGUGCUGAGCAGAGGCUGAGGUCAAAGGCAGUCAGACUCAAGGUCAGAGCUGGGGGAGACCCUGGUUGGCUUGACUGUGCCAUUGUGGCCACCGGCAGACACGGCUGGAAUCUGAGGCACAGAGAAGACAUGAUCCACCUAGCCAGGAGCAGCCUACCCGGCCCACGCUGUCCUCUCUGCCAUGCAGACUGGCUCUCAGGCAGUGACCUACGCCAGCAAUGUCUGACAGAGCACUGCUCACUGGGUUCUGCUUGGAAGUAGGACAGAUAUUCAUGGAUGCUGAUCCUGAUUGUGCCUCCCAUAGUAACCCAGCCCUGGCCCUACACCCCCAAGGCCUUGCCCUAGUCCAUGGCACCAGAUGGUGACUAUGGCCUGACCCUUGACUGUGCGCCCAACCCUGACCUUGACCAUGGUCUCACCCCUCACCACCACCAAGGCCCAGAUCCUGUGAGUUGACCGCAGCUUAGCCUCUGACUGUAUCCAUGACCACCAUUAUGAUGCCCCUGACGACGAUCCUGAACCCCACCAUGGCUCUGAACAUGAUCCCACCCUUGACCCUGACCAUGGCCCAACACUGAUCCCUCCCCAACCACAGACAUCGCAUAGGUCUUGACUAUGACCCUAACUAUUACCUUGCCGCCGACAAUAUCCUGUGUCUGACUAUGA